rnacentral:lncRNA from 1 species
CUGUUUCUUUAAACAAUAGAGUUCUCUGAGCAGUAGAAUGCGACGAUGGCUGCUUUUCAUAUUCGCUGACAGUGUAACAAUGACGGGUAAUUGGACCUGAGAGGACUGUGCCCUCGCUCAAGUCUCUGCAUUCCUGUUCUGGAUUUGGAUGCUAUGAGUGGAGCAUCUGACCUUUGGAAUUUCAAAGGCCAGGAGAGCCAUAGGAAUCUGGGAGUCAGAAUCCAGGCCAUAUUUUGCAACCAGUAUAGCACUGAUGUUCCAAGGAGCAAGCAGCAAGGAGACAUUUUCAGGAGUGACAUCCAGGAUUCCAGCCCAAUAGAAGAACUUAUCUCACAUAAUGCCUCUUGGUAACCGAGGAUGACAAUUGUUUUUUGUGCGUUUUUGUGCACAAAAACGCUUGUACAUGAAGAUUUAAGUGGAAAAGUCGAUGCACAGAAACAGUCCCACUCUCUCGGCAUUGGAAGCCUGGGUCCAUUGGCACGAAAAGUCGUUACAUCUGGAGACUUCCUCAGCUGCAUUGGAUGGCUGUGUUGUCUUUUGUGCUCCAACACGCCCUAAGCACUCCACAGUGCCUUGCUGCAUCGCCAUCUCAGCCGUUGAACCUUCUUGUUGGUUUCUUCUGCCUGUUCCGCUGAAACAGUCUUCACAUGCUGGAUUCAUCUAA